AUGAUUAGGUCUGAGGCGCAGACCCGUGGCCAGGCAGACCUGGCCAGUGUCCCCACCUGCCAAGGGAUGGUGAGGAUGUCUCCCCAGGCUCUGACCUUACAGACCGCUAAGCGCUCCAGCCCUGGAGCCUCUGCCCUGGGGUCUGCCGGCUGCUUCCACCUGCCCCCACCCACUCUGCAGGGCCAGCUAACAGCCAGGAAGUGGAUGGAGGCACAGGCCAGGGGCCAGAGGGGUGGGGGCCACAGGCUGAGCCAGGACAGGGCUCUGAAAGGAAGGGUCCCCCAUCCUCGACCAUCUUUGUUUGCUCUAUUAAGGGGGGCAAUGGCGAGGGAGGCGCGAGCUGCCAUGGGGAGGGGGCGGCGUCGGGGAAGGAGAUGGGGACACGGGGCAGCUGGACGGAGACCCACCCACAGAGACGCGGACAAACUCACAGAUAGAGGGAAGGGGGCGGGGCGGGGGGCGCGCAAGAGAGGCUGGGAGAGAACGAGCUCGGGAGGUCCCGGGAGACUGGGGUGGGAGAGGCUGAACCUCCAUCCAAGGGGGCCGCCCCUGCCCCGCAGAUUCCGCCCGACCCCUACCCCAUCCCAGGGCCCCGCAGUCGGAGUCGCGCGCGCGCACCUAUGCGCGCACACACAAGCACACACACGCGCACACACAUGCGCGCGCCGCUCCGCCGACACCGCCCCGGGGCCCCCCCUUCUGCAGGGGCGCGCGUCUGGCCCCCCAACCCCAGCCACCCGGUCCCCUCUCCGGCCGGGCCUCCGGACCCGUCGCCGCCGCUCACCUCGGUCCCCGCGCCGCCGCCGCCGCCGCCACCGCGCAGAGCCGGAGCCGGAUCCCGGAGCCCGGAGCCCGGAGCCCGGGGCCGGGGGAGGGGGCCGCAGAGGCCCCGCCCCGCCCCGCUCCGCCGCGUCCCGCCCCUCGGGCCCGCGCGGGGGCGCCCGCAGCCGCCGCAGCCCCCAGGGACUCCGGGCGCUGCAGGAGAGACUCGCCCAAGUGCGGAAACCUGUCCGCGGGCACGCCCACUCGGGUGCGCCCGAACUGGGGGCUGGCGCUUGGGCCCCCUCCCGGCCUCCGCCCCUGAGCACUGCGCAGGCUGUGGGCGGCGCCCGCCGGGGCAGGGGGCGUCCCGGGUCACCCGGCGGCCCGGAUCGGCCCGUGACGCCCUCACCCUACCCCUCUGCGGGCCGCAAACGUCCAGAGAGCGCCCCCUCCCCAAGUCCCGGUCAGAGUGGGGCGCCAGAAGCCGGGAGGACAAAUCAGACGGUCGUGAAGCCAUUCCCUCAGCCACAGGUCCUACUCACCAAGAACUGUGAAGGACAUGAGAUUGUACCCUAUUUGCAAGGUAAGAAAAGAGCCUGCCUCCGUUCCAUAAAUUCUGGCAGAAGAUAUGAGACUCCUGGGUCAGAAACAAGAAACGGUUCAUGACCCACGGCAGCAAUGGGAGCCACAGUAUCUACAUUUUUAUGGGCCAGUUCCAAGAAUAACACAAAUAGGGCCCAGUGGCAGCUUUGUACUCAGUGGAUUGUGUUUUAGGAGAGGAGUCUUGAGCUCAGAGAACCUGAAUCUUUUAUAGCAGGUGGUGAGUGUGCCUGCCGUUUACUCUGCAGAGAAAAUGUAGCUCCAGAGUUCCAGGCUGUUUACUUAUACUGUGUUGACUUUCGUCCUCCAAAAAUUCCUGGCCACCUGGAAGCCAUGAAUGUGACCUUACAGUUGCCCUCGAACAACAUGGACUUGAACUGCUUGGAUCCACUUAUAUGUCCAUUUUCUUCCACCUCUGCCAAAACUGAGACAGCAAGACCGACUCCUCCUCUUCUUCCUCCUCCUCAGCCUACUGAACAGGAAGACGACAAGGACGGAGACCUUUAUGAUGAUCCAUUUCCACUUAUUGAAUUGUAAAUCCAUUUUCUCUUAUUGAUGGUUUUCUUAAAGCAUUUACUUCUCUCUAGCUUACUUUAUUGUAAGAAUACAGCGUGUAAUACACACAACAUACAAAAUAUGUGUUAAUUGACCAUUGAUGUUAUCAGUAAGGCUUUCAGUCAAUAGCAGGCUAUUAGGCCGGGAGUGGUGGCUCACAUCUGUAAUCCCAGCAGUCUGGGAGGCUGAGGCGAGUGGAUCACUUGAGGUCAGGAGUUCGAGACCAACCUGGCCAACAUAGUGAAACCCCAUCUGUAUUAAAAAUACAAAAAAAGUAGCCUGCCAUGGUGGCACGUGCUUGUAAUCCCAGCUACUUGGGAGGCUGAGGCAGAAGAAUCGCUUGAACCUGGGAGGCAGAGGCUGCAGUGAGCUAAGAUCAUGCCACUGCACUCCAGCCUGGGUGACAGAGUGAGACGCUGUCUCAAAAAAAGAAAAGAAAAGGAAAAUGUACUAACACAGUAUACUAUGGUGGGUAAUUGUGUGCACCCAGCUUUAUAACCGCAGUCAUCUAGAAUACCUGGAUGAACAACCUAAGUCUUUUGAUAAGACCGUUCAAAAUCUGUGACGGGUCACCAGUGCCUAUGCACUCAUCCAAAGAGCUGAGAUCUGGAGAAACUUUACCUUUUCCAAGUGCAGAUGUACAAAAAGGACAUCCCUUCAUUGAGGAAGUUUCAACAUUUUUACAUCACACACACACAGAGUGCUCACACACAAAGUCAAUGCUGGGAUAAUGCACUUUGGUGGAGUCAAAUUUGCAAAAGAUGCAUAAAAUGAAUUAGAACUCUCUAAAAGUCUCUAUGCAAUUUAUACUUCCAGGAUUGGAAAGGAUGGAAAGAUUAAAUCCAUAGCAUAACAAAUUGUAGAAAAACAAUGCUGAUAAUUUAGAAGAGUGAGUGAAAAGAAAACCUAAACAAAGAAAAAGAAAAGAAAAAAGAAAGCUAACACACUAAAAAGAUGACUCAACAUGAAAACAUGUAUUACUCGGAUAGAUUAUGGGCUAUUGCUCAGAGACAGUCCAUAAAAGCUGGCCGACUUUCAUCAUUAUUAACUAUAGUUUGAAGUCUUGCAUCUCAAUGAGUAGCCGCUUUUUUUCUUUUCUAUUUUCUUUUGAGAUGGAGUCUCACUCUGUCACCCAGGCUGGAGUGCAGUGGCACGAUUUCGGCUCACUGCAACCUCUGUCUCCCGAGUUCGAGUGAUUCUCCUGCCUCAGUCUCCCAAGCAACUGGGACUACAGGCUACCGCCACCACACCUAGCUAAUUCUUGUAUUUUUAGUAGACACGGGUUUUCACCAUAUUGGCCAGGCUGGUUUCGAACUCCUGACCCCAUGAUCCACCUGCCUCGGCCCCACAAGAUGCUGGAAUUACAGGUGUGAGCCACUAUGUGCAGCUGCUUUUUUUUUUUUUGGAGACAGAGUCUUGCUCUGUCGCCCAGGCUGGAGUGCAGUGGCCAGAUCUCAGCUCACUGCAAGUUCCACCUCCUGGGUUUAUGCCGUUCUCCCGCCUCAGCCUCCCGAGUAGCUAGGACUACAGGCGCCCACCACCUCGCCUGGCUAGUUUUUCAUAUUUUUUAGUAGAGACGGGGUUUCACCGGGUUAGCCAGGGUGGUCUCGAUCUCCUGACCUUGUGAUCCGCCCGUCUCGGCCUCCCAAAUGCUGGGAUUACAGGCUUGAGCCACCAAGCCUGGCUUUUUUUUUUUUUUUUUUUAAAGGGCAUGCCUCUCCUGUGAAAAUAUGUUCAUGUUCAUUUUCUACAUGGCUCUGCUCUUUAUGAAAUUUUUCUGUGAUUUGACAUACACUGACAUGGGCAUUCUAUCAUUCCACGUGCACUCACCUACAGACCACAGAUUUGGUGGUCACAAUACUGCCCAGGCUGGAGUGCAGUGACGCAAUCUCAGCUCACUGCAACCUCUGCUUCCUGGGUUCAAGCGAUUCUCCUGCCUCAGCCUCCUGAGUAGCUGGGAUGACAGGCACCUGACACCAGCCCAGGUAAUCUUUGUAUUUUAGUAGAGACGAAGUUUCACCUUGUUGGCCAGGCUGGACUCAAACUUCUGACCUCAAGUGAUCUACCCGCCUCGGCCUCUCAAAAUGCUGGGAUUACAAACGUGAGUCACCAUGCCCGGCCAGCCGUACGUGUCUUCUUAUCCUACGGUGCGCAUAAUUAUACUCAAACCAUUCAGAAACUUCAGUGGCUUCUUCAGGCAAAUGUGGCUCUAUGUCUUUAAAAGCUCUUGGAGGCACAAGGAAAGAAAAAUAAAAAGAAGAAAAGAAAAACUAGAAAUAAAAAAAAAAAUACAUAAAAGCUCCUGGAAUAUUGUCAGCUGGAAGGAAUGCCAAGGCAGGCAAAUGACAAUUUGUUUUCUUUGAGAGAGUCUCGCUCUGUCGCCCGGGCUGGAGUGCAGUGGUGUGAUCUCAGCUCAUUGCAACCUCCGCCUCCCAGGUUCAAGCGAUUCUCCUGCCUCAGCCUCUUGAGUAGCUGGGAUUACAGGCGCCCACCACCGUGUCUGGCUAAUUUUUGGAUUUUUAGUAGAGAUGGGGCUUCACCAUGUUGGCCAGACUGGUCUUGAACACCUGACCUCAGGUGAUCUUCCUGCCUUGGCCUCCCCAAGUGCUGGGAUUACAGGUGUGAGCCACUGCGCUGGGCCAAAUGACACAUUUUAAAGCUGAAGUUUUUGUGGUUGCUGUAUCAAGUGGCCCGUUCAGUUAUCUGAAUUUUCCACCAAAUGCAUUAGGCUGAAUCAAAAAAACCCAAAUUUUAUUGGUAACACCUUGCCAUUCACUUUUAGAAGCCUUAAUCACCUCUAAUUCCAAAUCUGUCAUGACUGGGGGAGUCAAUUAGAUGUUAGGAAUUUUAGACUGUAGGGAUUUAGACUUCAGGGAUUUUGAUCUUUCGGGAUUUCAGCAUUUGGGAUUAUGGUGCUCAAGAUAGUCAUUAGGGAUUAUGACCCAAACCCCAGACAAAGAUGUAGCACGUGGCAAGCACUCAUGAAUACUUAUGGGUUGAAUGACAGUUGAAGGGGAGAGCUGGCCCUAGGCUGUGGGCCAGCCAACUCUGGCUCUGUAUCCUGGCUCUGCUCCCAGGGAGCUGUGUGAUUGCAAGCAAACCUUUUACCUCCCUGACCCUCAGCUUCCUCAUCUGUUAGAUGGGGACAGAGGCCAGGCACCGUGGCUCACGCCUGUAAUCUCAGCACUUUGGGAGAUCGAGGCGAGCAGAUCACUUGAGGCCAGGAGUUUGAGACCAGCCUGGCCAAUAUGGGGAAACCACGGCUCUACUAAAAAUACAAAAAAUACAAAAAAUUAGCCGGGCAUGGUGGCAGGCACCUGUCAUCACAGCUACUCGGGAGGAGGAGGUUUCAGUGAGCUGAGAUUGCGCCACUGGCAACGAGACUCGAGUGCGGGGAAAAAAGAGAAACUUAAAAUAAAAAAAAAAAAAAAAAAAAAAAGGGACAGAAAUACAUACUUUGCAGCAUAUUGAGAUGAUUUGAGAUGAUAUGGGAGAUAACUCCUGGCUGGCACAGGGCCCAGCAUAUAGCAGGUGCUGAGCCCUUUCUUGCUGCUCUCUGGAGCCUAGAGGGCUCCUGGGGCACCCCCAUCUCUGGUCUGUCUGGAGGACUUGGGUGGCUCUGAACCCUGGACACAGCACCAUUCCUAAGGGGCUUCCUGAUGAGUGGCCUUGGGGUAAACCUUGUUAUAAUAACACCCCCCUUUACUUAUAGAUUCUUUUCUGGGCUUCUUUGCUGUUGGGCAUCCGGGAGCAGCUUGAUUGCUUCUAGAGACGGUGGGCUCACUACUCCCAGCACUUGCCUGAGCGUUCAUUGUGGGAUUGAGGUUGAAGACAGAUCUUUCUUGUCCACCCUGCUUGUCCUGCUCUCUGCUG
ensembl:lncRNA